rnacentral:rRNA from 1 species
GACGAACGCUGGCGGCGUGCUUAACACAUGCAAGUCGAACGGAAAGGCCCUGCUCUUGUGGGGUGCUCGAGUGGCGAACGGGUGAGUAACACGUGAGUAUCCUGCCCUUGACUUUGGGAUAACUUCGGGAAACUGGGGCUAAUACCGGAUAGGAGCUCCUGCUGCCUGGUGGGGGUUGGAAAGUUUCGGCGGUUGGGGAUGGACUCGCGGCUUAUCAGCUUGUUGGUGGGGUAGUGGCUUACCAAGGCUUUGACGGGUAGCCGGCCUGAGAGGGUGACCGGCCACAUUGGGACUGAGAUACGGCCCAGACUCCUACGGGAGGCAGCAGUGGGGAAUAUUGCACAAUGGGCGGAAGCCUGAUGCAGCAACGCCGCGUGCAGGAUGACGGCCUUCGGGUUGUAAACCGCUUUCGCCUGUGACGAAGCGUGAGUGACGGUAAUGGGUAAAGAAGCACCGGCUAACUACGUG